GUCUCGGUGUAAACAAGUCGAGGCGGCUGCGAACCGGGCCGGGGGGGACGGCGCCCAUCAGGAGCGCCCCCCACUCCCAGGCCAGGCCACCCCGCGGACCGGGCCCUCCACGCGCCCAGGCGAGGUGAGGCCUGGACCGACGUCUCUGCGCGUCGCCCGCGCCCCCGCCCCGCAAGCGAGGACUGCCCCUUCCCCCGCGCACGCCCCCAUCCCCAGGUCCCAGGUGAGCCCCGGGGUCUCAGGUAAGGCUUGGCGAUGCAGGUAAGAUUUCCCUCAGCGGAGAUGAGGCUCAUCGCCUGCAGGUAAAAAACCCCUCCUCUCCCUAGGGGACCCUCUUCCUUUGGGGAGGCCUUCAGCCUCCCAGGUGAGAGACCCUUUCCCGAAGCGAACUCCAUGCACCCCACAUUUGCCCUAUCACUAGUCCAAAUAGGGUCCCAAGGACCAGUCGGUUUCUUAUCUCCCCCCCACCAAGCUCCCUCAAAACUGGAAAACUGGCAUCCCAUCCACUCUGAAGCCCCUUCUUCCCGUUUCAGAUGCCAGCUCAGCAGGGGUGAGGCCAGAAGCAGGUGGGUGACUCACCUAGAGCUCCUCCUAGCCUCAGUUUACCCGCUGAUGCAACCAGAGGCCUCCUCAGUGAGUCAAAGCUGAGAUGAUUCUGGUCCCUGGUGAGACUGCUGGCUCUAGGGAAAGGAGAGAGCAGCCAAGUGUGACAGAGUCCCCAUAGUUCUGGGCUUGUCUACAUGUGUGUGGCCUUGGUCCUGACAGUCCACUUCUCCUUCCUGGCAGGCACUGGGCUCCCUCUGCUCCCCGUGGGCCGCUCCCCGCGUGGGGCCACUGCCCUUGGCCCCCGCCAUGGUGCGGAUUUCAAAGCCCAAGACGUUUCAGGCCUACUUGGAUGAUUGUCACCGGAGGUACAGCUGUGCCCACUGCCGUGCUCACCUGGCCAACCACGACGACCUCAUCUCCAAGUCCUUCCAGGGCAGUCAGGGGCGUGCCUACCUCUUCAACUCUGUGUGAGUAUCCAUCUCCUUCCUUUCUUUUCCUGACCUCUGUUGUGACCUGUGACCCCUGACAUCAUGUCGAUAUUCCCAGAGUCCCCCUCGUUUCAGACAGGAAGCCAUGAUCAGGCUCCUCUUAGAGGCUAAGACCAGACACUGAACAUGCUAGCUAGAGGAGGGGCUCUGGGCUGCUGAGACCCUCCCUGGGACUACCCUUUGUCCCCACAGGGUGAAUGUGGGUUGUGGGCCAGCAGAAGAGCGGGUGCUGCUGACAGGUCUUCAUGCUGUCGCUGACAUCCACUGCGAGAACUGCAAGACCACUCUGGGCUGGAAAUAUGAGCAAGCCUUUGAGAGCAGCCAGAAAUACAAGGAGGGGAAGUACAUCAUUGAACUCAACCACAUGAUCAAAGACAACGGCUGGGACUGACCUAGCUCCUGACGCAUGUGGCUUCAGCCUGGCCUGGCCGCCAGGGGGAGCCACUGGUUUCGCUCCUCCUGAAGGGAGCUCUGGACCCUCAGGGCCCCCACAGGGGAAGGAUCCAGCUCCUGUACAUAUAUUUUAUUGCAUGCACUGUGACCUUGGGGGGAGACAAGGAGGGGGAUUGUAACCCCCGGCACCUCCCUGCGAUCUGGCUGGCUUGGAUCUCAUUUUUUUUAACCCCUUCCUGUCUUGCCUGUCCCAUAGAUAUGGCCUGUGUGCUGCUCUCAUGGCCCCGGUGCACCAUCUUUCUGUGAAUCCCUCCCUCUGGAUCCCUCUUACCCGCAGUGUGUCUGUUCUCGUUCUGUAGCGUUUGUAAAUAAUAAAACAAUGGAAUGGAGAC
rnacentral:lncRNA from 1 species